AUACUUAUGUGGCAGGGGAGCUACCCUGAUCAAGACGGUGGUUCACCCAGGGCGAGGCUCAACCAUCGCACUCCAGUUGUGCUGACCCUUGCGAAUUUCCCCAUAAUUUCUCCCCUGAUAGUUUCUGGGCUACUGAUCAGAAGGUCAGA
ensembl:snRNA U1 U1 spliceosomal RNA